UACAGAGGCCUCAAGCGUUAGGCGGAAUCACUGGGCUUAAAGCGUGUGUAGGCGGUUCGUUAAGUACCUUGUGAAAUCCCACGGCUCACCCGUGGAACUGCUGGGUAUACUGGCGGUCUUGGGCCAACUAGGGGCAGCUGGAACAAGCGGUGGAGCGGUGAAAUGCGUAGAUAUCGCUUGGAACGCCGAAGGUGAAAACAGGCUGCUGGGGUUGUGCCGACGCUGAGACACGAAAGCCAGGGGAGCAAACGGG
rnacentral:rRNA from 1 species